AAAUGAAUUGACGGGACCCGCACAAGCGGUGGAUGAUGUGGUUUAAUUCGAUGCAACGCGAAAACCUUACCCACCUUUGACAUGGCAGGAAUCCCGAAGAGAUUGGGAGUGCUCGAAAGAGAACCUGCACACAGGUGCUGCAUGGCUGUCGUCAGCUCGUGUCGUGAGAUGUUGGGUUAAGUCCCGCAACGAGCGCAACCCUUGCCAUUAGUUGCUACGAAAGGGCACUCUAAUGGGACUGCCGGUGACAAACCGGAGGAAGGUGGGGAUGACGUCAAGUCCUCAUGGCCCUUAUAGGUGGGGCUACACACGUCAUACAAUGGCCGGUACAGAGGGUAGCCAACCCGCGAGGGGGAGCCAAUCCCACAAAGCCGGUCGUAGUCCGGAUCGCAGUCUGCAACUCGACUGCGUGAAGUCGGAAUCGCUAGUAAUCGCGGAUCAGCAUGUCGCGGUGAAUACGUUCCCGGGUCUU
rnacentral:rRNA from 1 species